GGACAACAGUUGGAAACGACUGCUAAUACCGCAUAACACUUUAGUACCGCAUGGUACAGAAGUCAAAGCUUUAUGUGCUGAGAGAUGGUCUCGCGUCUGAUUAGCUAGAUGGCGGGGUAACGGCCCACCAUGGCGACGAUCGGUAGCCGGUCUGAGAGGAUGAACGGCCACAUUGGGACGGAGAUACGGCCCAGACUCCUACGGGAGGCAGCAGUGGGGAAUAUUGGGCAAGAAGGGAAACCCUGACCCAGCGAC
rnacentral:rRNA from 1 species